AUACUUACCUGGACGGGGUCAAUGGAUGAUCAAGAAGGUCCAUGGCCUAGGUUAGUGACCUCCAUUGCACUUUGGAGGGGUGCUCGCCUAAGAUCUCCCCGAUGAGGGAGAGUCUACGUCAUAAUUUGUGUUAGUGGGGGUACGCGUUCGCGCGGCCCCUGA
rnacentral:snRNA from 11 species